CAGUCUCUAUACAAAAUGGUGCCCUUUUCACUUUGCUGAAAAAAAUACAUACCGAGGAUAUUUGAGAUUUAACACUGGCUAAAAAUAUCUUAGCAGUCUCUUCACUUCAUGCGACCAGGAGCCAUGACUGUCAGAGUAUUUGUAAUUGGCUUGGAAAAAUAGAGCCCACAUGAGAGGAAUUCUGAGUUACAGACCUUGGGGCUNNNNNNNNNNNNNNNNGCUAUCUUUGCCCAGUGGCAACUAAGUGGCAGGCUCUCUUUCUAUGGAAUUUCUAUCAAUUAACCUUCUCACUUUUGCUCAUUUCCUCGGCUAAUGAAUGCUUUAUUGCCUUAUACCCUGCCCCAUCUUUGAACAGCUCUGACUAUCGGUUGCCACCAGCCUCAAGGGAGGACCAGGGACUACACUCUGCUCAGCUCUGGCACCCACCGCAGGCUCUGGCCCUGGGGUGCCUCUGGAAUAGGAGUCCAUCUCGGUGAUAACUGGGAAAUAGUUUAUCUCGGGAGUUUGGAUGCAGUUGGUCUACUGACCUCAGUGAAAGAAACACAGUCUUGACCCAUCAGAUCCUGAUCCUGAGAACCCAGACCCGCCCGUUUCAGGAGACCAUUGCCACAGAUGAAAGGAAGUCAGCUCUCACUCUGCGAUCAGUUAGCUCUCACCUGGGUGGAGGGACACAACAAGGCUGAGCAACUGUGACUUCUUCCCCUGCUUUUACAUUAAGGAAGUUAUUUCCCAACCAAAUUUAGCUAAAGUCCAACUACUAGUUUACCUGGAAGUAUUAUUUCUUUCCUCUGUUUCGUUUCCAUUAGAUUCCUCUUCCUGGAUUUUAUUUGGGCAUAUAUUGUAAAUCAAAGAUCUAUCUUUCCCCCGUCCUAUUUCAUCACUGCUUUGUGAUAUUUCCUGUAUCUUAUUUUCAGCUUUUUUUAAAGAGUCUCUUUCUCAUUAUUUUGCUUUAUUGCUUUGUUUAUUAGAUGUUUGACCAGUGCACCGCCCCUUUAAUUCUUGUAGCCAUCUAGUUUAUGUUUAUAUUAAAUAUAUAAUAUUUACAUUAUAUUUUACAUUAGGAGAAACCCAUUAUUCUCCUUGUACUUUCUCUUUAAAAAACUUUCUAUUUUCACCAAUUAUUGAUAUUUUUAUUUUUCUUCCAGAUGAACUUGAGGAAUAAAUCUGUAUUGAUUUUGCCUUCCCUUUAUUUUUUCUUUUAAAUUGGCCAGACAGGCUUCUCACACUCCUCAUUUAUUUCUUCAUAUCUUUCAGCAAUCUUUCUUCCCUUCCCUUAUACUUAGAAUUCACGGCUCACAGCAUACAUAAUGAACUGGUUUCUCCUUUUGUCUUUAAGACUGUCUUCAAUAGUCAUAUUUCCUCAAAACACACUGACUUUCUCUCACACCUAGAAAUCUUUCCAUCUUCUUGACCUUGAAAUAAGGACCAUGAAAACAAACCUCAAUCCUCAGAGUUAAAAAAAAUCAAUUUUGGAAAAUGACUACUCUUCCUUAUCCUCUAAAAGCACCAAAAGUUAUUCUUUUUUUAUGUCAGCACAACAACAGAGGCUAAAAUUAUCUGCGCAGCACCAUUUAAAUCAUGCCUUUCUCUGCCUCAUACUAACACAGCUUAAAUAUUUAAAUACAGUUUCUUUGUUGUGAACACAAAUCACCAGCCUUUCUCCAUCACUCUAUAAUCCACACGUCACCAAUACGCUAAGCAAAUUGUAAGCAAGUACACUGAAAUUUGUCCGGAUUGACUUGGGCCAUCAGUAUUGUCUAUGUACACAACUAAGAAAUAUAUAGGCUGCCCAGGUGGCUCUAGUGGUAAAGAAUCUGCCUGCAGAUGCAGGACAUGCAAGAGACUAGGGUUCAAUCCCUGGGUCAGA
ensembl:lncRNA